CCCGUCUAAGCUAGCGGGAGUUAGCCGGCCUUCGUUAAAACUGUUGGGACACAGGCUGUUAAACUGAUAAAAUUUCAGCUUCCAUGGAACGGGGGGCCCUGCCUGAGGAGGAAGACAGCGCAAAGAAGGCAGAGAUCAUUGCUACAGCUCCAUCCUCUGAUCCAGUGGUGCCUGUCCUCUCAGUGGGAUGGAUGGAAAUUCUUGGAGCGCCCAGCUGCGGUUUGCGACUGCUCAUGUAGAGUGACAGUGUGCAGAUGGUCAAGUGCUCCUGACUGGGCUACUGGGACUCAAGCCCUCGCAGGUGGUCUUCACGCUGGUCCAGGCCAUCAAUCAAGUCCAAGUGGCAGGAAGAGUGAGGGAAGAGACCACAGCGGUGGGCCCCGACUGGAAGGCUGUUUAACUCAAAGUUAUGGAAAAGGAGAGUAACAGGUACUGCUCAACCCACAUGGAAAGAUAAGGAACUGUUUUUGACCAUCAGAAUUCAGACCCCCCAGGCUCCUGGUCUCCAGUGUCACCCUGGGAGACCUCCUGCACCUUCCCAACAGGUCAAGCAGGGUACCCAGGUAUGUCUCUGUCUUUGCACUUAGCUCAGUAAGAGCAGCCAACAGGAAAGAGCAAAGUUCCCCAUAAAAACAAAACUUUGUGAGGGAGACGUCUCUGAAUGGAACAAGCCUCACUCACUGGCCUGCUCCUCUCAGAGCUCCAAGCUCAGUCCCAUGCCCAGGCUGGGGAUUUGCUCUCCUGGAACCCUCAGCCCUGAACUGAGGGAGGGCCCUGGAAUGAGGACUGGAAUGAGGAGGUGGGGAAUGCUGAGAGAAUGUGGCUCUGUCCUCCUACUGCUGUUUCUACUUUUUCAGAUCU
rnacentral:lncRNA from 1 species